rnacentral:lncRNA from 10 species
AUUACAGGUACGCACCACCACGCCUGGCUGAUUUUUUUGUGUUUUUAAUAGACACAGGGUUUUGCCAUGUUGCACAGGCUGGUCUCAAACUCCUGAGCUCAGGCAAUCUGACCACCUCGGCCUCCCAAAGUGCUAGGAUUACAGGCAUGAGCUGCCAAUCCUGGCCGAAUCCCCGUCUGUUUUAAAAAAUAAAAUUUUAAAUCAAUCAAUUAAUUAUUAAAAAGUAGAAAAGGCCUCCUUGGCUACAGGGCAGAAACUGGAGGAAGGGGUGCGGGUAGGAGGCGGUUGCACUAAUUUGCUGGUGAAGCCUGAAUGACUAACAGAAACGAGGGCUGGCAGGCGUCACAGGUCAGCUCUGAGCACACCCAAAACCACACGCACGGCACCUCCUGGGCCCCGGAGCGCCGUGCCCAAGCCCCUCUGGAGUCGAGGGAGCGGUGACUGCACUUCAUCUCCGGCCUCAGUCCUGGGAGCAGCGACAGCCGGGGCCCCAGGGGACUGCGAGAGCUCUGGGCUGAAAUGUGGUCUGUGAGACGGGGCCUCGGCCUGGGACCAAUUUUGAAAUGAAGGACUCGGAUGGACGGUUUGGAAUUAAUCAAGUGAACAAGAAAGGCCCAUGGAGCACCGCACGUUCACACGCUCUCUUGCACUCUUGUAGUUCAAAAACAGCUUUGAUUAUAAAAAUGUAAUCAGUUAAACGAUUUAUCUGAAAUAUCCCAAAUUCAUCUGUUUUUAGAUUUCAACAUCCUCCAUCUCAUUUCCGUCUGACCCCUACAGUGCCACCCCACAAUCCCCAGAUUCUAGUGAAGCUGAGACCGGAUGAAAGCCGACUCCGGAGUCCCUGAUAAUGGCACGCAGACUGGAACCUCAGGGAGAUGCAACCAGGGCCACCAUGCUGGCCGUUCUCCCCAGGGCCCUAAGUCUCUUGAGUCCAGCCUCUUGUCUUGGUCCAGCACUGUGUCCCCAGUGUCCCCGUGAGUGUCCCAUGUGGGGCAGCCCAUUCACAGGAGGCGGCCACCCCAGGUCAGUGGGGCCCGAGCUGCUGCUCCGCCCUCGGCUCCCAGAUGCCUCCUGUAUCUGCUGCAGUUUUUUGCAUCCUCCUGGCAGCAGCCCAGGUACCUCCUGUCCACACCUAGCUCUGGGAGGAGACUUAGCAGGGACAGCAGUGUAGGGGGCCCAGCAGAGGGGGUUGGUCCUGCGCUUUGCUGUUUUGCCUGUGAUAUGUUUGCAGCGUGGUCACUGGCUGGAACCGCCUCCCACUUCCCCAGGCAACAGACCAGCCCCACAGCAUCCUCGCCCCAUCACAUGGAAGAACAUGUUCACAGACCUGCACAAAGUCACCGAGCCAAGCCCAGGUCUUCGAAGCAAAUAGACUAAAGAGAAAGCAGUGAUUUUGGUAUGAAGCUGCCCCCGACCAGGACCCAGGGCUGGCACGAUGUCCAGCCCAUGCAGUGGAGACAGAAUGGGCCCAGGGGUCUAUAGUCCAUGUGGCCUCAGGCACGUCCCUGGCCCCGCCAAGCCUCGGCCCCUUCAGCUAUUGGGGGAACCAAGGAGAUGACGCAGGAGAGCUUCAGAGUUGGGCACACGGACUGGGUUCAGGGACCGUUCCCACUGCUCUGUCCAUUACCAAUGCCAGCCAGGGAAGCCUGUGAGGCUGAAGGCGCCCCUUUUGGGCCUGCAUCCUCAAUGGCCAGCGUCCUGGCUGAUCGCCCAGGCUGUGGCCCGAGGGCGGGAGUCCAGCGCAAGAGUCCGCCAGGGCUGGAGGCAGCCUUCGGCAGGUCAAGCGCGCCCUCUAGUGUUCCCUGGCCGGGCACGAGAGCCAGCAGGAUGGACGUUCAUUCAGAGAAUCGUUCCCUUCACCGUUGUUGAUCCAUUCAGCGGGUAUUUACUGUGUUCUCGUUAUGUACGAGGCGCUUCGGCAUUUGGGAUACGGUAGCAGGAAACACAUCCAGGGGUCCCUCCCCACUUGGAGCCUGUGGUUGAGUGGCAGACAGAACAAAAAACUCCCACAAAUUCCAGCUUCACUAUGCCUCGUGGCCAGGGCUAGGAGGCGGGGCUCCCGUUACCCAGACCUGGCCUGGUGGGGGUCAGGGGCACCGCCUUGAGGAAGGGAGGUGUGAGUCGAAGUCAGAAGGUGAAGAGGAUGCUGAUAAGAGGGUGGGAGGACUGGAGAGAUGGACCUGAGCUAGAAUUGCAGGCUCACGGGCUCACUGACGCUUGCAGCCGCCGGCAAGUGAGAAAAUAGAUGAGGCUGGUUGGGCGCAGGAGAGCAGAGAAAACGGCAGGGCCUGGGGUGAAUCGGGGCACCCGCCCCAUCGGGGUGCAGUUCCGCACAUGCAGUCAUCACUACCACAUCUUCCAACAUUUCCAGAGAAGCUGGAAAUCCAAAUUCUAUAAAAAUCCUUUGCAUUUUUAAGGGUUUCAACCAGUUCUUUACCAGUGGGUGACAAUUGUCUGUGGAAACCAAGGAGGGCCCACCCCACAGCCUAGGGGGCAGCUCUCAGGGAGGCUGGGAAACCAACCAUGCCCCAAGGGUGGGGCAGGAGGGCAGAGCUUGGCCUGGGCAUGGUCCAGGGGCCACAGGGCGAGGCAGAGUGACUGCAGCUUCAGUGUGUGCUGCGAGCUGUCCUGGUCACGCUGUCUCCCUCUAGACUGCCUCGUGGAGUUUGGCCACGCUGUGGCGGUCACCCUUCUGUGAAGGUCACACUUCCCGUCAGCUGCUGCUCCCUACUCUGGAUUUCCACCCCAUCCACGGCUGGCACCAAAAUGAGCUGAUGGUGUGUUCCCCCAGACUUCCUUCCACCAGAACAGCCCUCUGUGCCUGAGCUGGUGACCUGGGCAGCUCAGUCAGACACAUCCCGGCCCGCCGGUCCCAUCCUCCAUCCUCCCUCACCCCACGGGGGUCAAGCUCUUUCCUCUCUGCCACCUUAAUGAGGAACAGUAUUUUCUGAUACCUGACAGGGUAAUCAUGUCUCUCCCCACCAGUCAUGGGCAAAUGUGUCAUUUCAGCAGGUAUUUUUGGGAUCGGUUCAAAGGCACAGUGCUGUAAACACCACCUCUGCUAGCCAUGAUGUGUGACAUGGACAUACAUGUAAUUACUUCCAGCACACUCAGGCAUCACCGAGCAGGUCCUCUCCCCAAAAUAGAAGCCAGCCGGUUUCACAGCCUCACAGCAUCAUAGAGCUGAAAGGGCCCUGGGAGACUUUCUAGGCCAAGGGUUACAAAUCAGAUGCCCUGCAGAGCUGGCGAGUCACCUCGCCAUGGGCAGCAGGCUAGGCGUGAGACCACAGGGAAGGGUGGAGCCUGUGGACCAGGGUCUGCGAGAUCUCCCGGCUUUUCAAGAAAAGCCCAAACUCUGGACGUUUAUGUAAAAGGUUGCAAUUUUUAAAUGUGACUAAUUCAUUUGGUUUGGGGUUCUUUGUUUUUUUGUUUGUUUGAGACAAAGUCUCGCUCUGUCACCCAGGCCGGAGUGUAGUGGUGCCAUCAUAGCUCACUGCAGCCUCAACCUCCACGGUUUAAGCAAUCCUCCUGCCUCAGCCUCCUGAGUAGCGGGAGCUACAGGCAUGUGCCACCACACCCAACCUUUUUUUUUUUUUUUUUUAGAGAUGAGGUCUCACUAUGUUGCCCAGGCUGGUCUUAAACUCCUGAGCCAGGGUAAUCCUCCUACAUUGACCUUCCAAAGUGCUGGGAUUACGGGCAUGAGCCGUUAUGCCCAGUCUGGGUUCUUUUAACUGCACGGAUCAAAUAAAACCUGGCUCCCAGAAAGACAUUGCCCAAUUCCAGCCCCUCACACUACAGAUGAGCAGCACAGAGGGCAGCAGCCCAAGCAAGGCCAAGGAGCACAUGAGGGGCAAGUCUCUGACCUUGGUGCAAGCGCUUGGGACCCCACCCAGCUGAAGCUCCUACAGUUUGCUGAGUUGAGGUGCAUAGGUCACUACAGAGCCCACUCUACAAAAUGCCCUAGGUCCCAGGAAGAAGUGCUCCAGGAGGAACAUUGUGCCACCCUCAAGGCACCAGCAACAGCUGGGCUGAACCUAACUUUGAGGGUCUUUUCUUCCUUUCCCUAGCACAAAGAAUUUGAGUUUGGGAAAUUGCUAAGCCCCGGACAGUCUUGCUGCAGCCCAUGUGUGUACAAAGAGCCUAGGCUGAGAAAUCAGAACCGUAUGGUGCUGACCCGCCCUGAAGGGGGCUGCCCACCCACCCCUUAUCCACCAGCCGGCUCUAAUGAGAGCUGGGAGGAGGCUCAGGGAACCUUCACACAGGAAUGUGCACUUCCCAGGCUGGGACCUCAGGCCCCACCAGCCUUGUAAUUUGAUGAAUUGUCAACAUCUGGGGUGUAAUUACUAGGUCCUGGCCUGAUAAUCCUGGUAAGCCCUUCUUCCAGGGGCCUUGUCCUAGUGCAUUUUGAGGGCUCCGUUCCCUCACAGGAACCGUCAGCAUUAAUUACAGCCAGAAAGCAAGACAGGCCCCCAGCUCUGGCCGAUUUGAGCGUUUACUCCUGUCUGCUUCUAAACGCGGCCAGUUUAUUUGUUUGGUUCAGUUCAGCAGAUGCUGGAGCCGAUCUUGGGGAGUGCUGGGCCGCAGUCAGGAGGACAGGGCCAGCCCUGGACCUUUCCCUAACAUAGAGCAAGAAGAGCAGCACAGGCUUUUCCCGGCAGAUGAGCAUCAAGACACUCCAGGGAUGGAGCCACCAUACUCCACAUCCCGAAUGUACUUCACCAGGAAACCUCCCCUCUGUAGCCACACGGUUAUAGGACCACCAGUUUCAAAUGCCCGCUGCGUUAGUACCAGGCCAAUUACACUGAGACAGCAGGGUUUGCUGCAGAGAAAGAGUUUAAUGAUUGCAGGGCACCCAGCAAGGAGAUGGAGGAGACCCUCAAAUCCAUCCCCCCAAGGAGUUCUGGGCCAGGGUGUUUAAGGGGAUCAUGGAGGGUGAGGGGCUGGAAAAUUGGGGUCAUUGAUCGGUCAGGACCGGGGGGCUGAAAUCAGCAGGAUGUGGAGACCGCACUCCGGUGAAUCAGCUCCCGUGGGAUCCUUCCGACCAGCUGACUUUGUAGUUUCACUGGUGUGCAGGCUCUGAAAGAGUAGGGAAAAGGUAGUUUUUUACGUUCAGAUUGGUAUCUACGGAGCAGUUAAGGGGAACCAUGACCCUGUAAGAGAACCUGCGCGAUUCUGAGGCAGCAGGAAAACAGUUCCGAGAAGGGGUCAGGGAGCACGCUGACCUCAUGAUGAUGCUGAGUGUGCCACAAGCUUGGUUUAUUUUUGUUCCUCCCCCUCCCUUCUUCCCUAAUUAACUUUAUAACGUUUAUAGGGCUGGUUUCAACACUUGUUAAUAUGCCUCAAAAGAUGGCUCUGUGAACCCGGCUUAGGAAAUACGCGACAGGCCGAGGGAGGGAGAGAGCAAAGCCUCAGCUUCACAGGUGGCAGAGCUGGCGGCACCGUCCAGGGUCCUGCUGCCGGCCUCUUGGAAGGCCACACACGGGUCGCUCCCAGCACUGUCCCCCAGGGCCAGGGCAAACCCUAAUCCAGUGUCUGCUUGCCCGUGGGGCUUCGCAUCUUGCAUUGGUCUGGGAAACAAAGGCCACUGACCUGGGACCCAAUUUGAACUUGUUGUUUGAGAGGAGAAUGGCAUGACCUGCAUUUCACAAAUGAGGAAACUGAGGCUCGGGGACACCCCAGUCCCUGAGCAAAGCAAGGGACUGAGGCAGCACCAGGGCUGGGGGAGGGCUGCCCAUCCGGGGUCCCAGGACAGGUGGCCGCCUGGCCUGCUGCUCAUGUGCAGCCCAGAGCUUUGUUUGUUUCUCACACAUCCGGAAACAUCCCGGAGCCCGGCUGAUCUCCAUGGGGAAAGAGUGAUUUAAAGCAGAACCAAGGCUUGUAAACAGCUGUGGGGUUUCUCAGAGGGCAGAAGGCGUUGAAAACCUCUGGUGGAUUCAAGGGCUUUGAUCAGGCAGGGGAGCGAGCUGGACAGUCAUGAGCAUCUCCAGGCACAGUGCUGUGGCAUCCAUAGAUGAGGA